GAGUUUGAUCCUGGCUCAGAACGAACGCUGGCGGCGUGCUUAACACAUGCAAGUCGAACGUGAUUCGGAGCUUGCUCCGAUGAAAGUGGCGCACGGGUGAGUAACGCGUGGAUAACCUGCCCUGGUAUCUGGGAUAACAUCUCGAAAGGGGUGCUAAUACCGGAUAAGCCCACGGGAUCUUCGGAUUCUGCGGGAAAAGAAGGCCUCUAUUUAUAAGCUUUCGUAUCAGGAUGGGUCCGCGUACCAUUAGCUAGUUGGUGGGGUAAUGGCCUACCAAGGCGACGAUGGUUAGCUGGUCUGAGAGGAUGAUCAGCCACACUGGAACUGAGACACGGUCCAGACUCCUACGGGAGGCAGCAGUGGGGAAUUUUGCGCAAUGGGGGAAACCCUGACGCAGCAACGCCGCGUGAGUGAUGAAGGCUUUCGGGUCGUAAAGCUCUGUCAGAGGGGAAGAAAUGAGAUUGGCUAAUAUCCAAUUUUCUUGACGGUACCCUCAAAGGAAGCACCGGCUAACUCCGUGCCAGCAGCCGCGGUAAUAC
rnacentral:rRNA from 1 species